UACGUAGGGAGCAAGCGUUGUCCGGAAUUAUUGGGCGUAAAGAGCGUGUAGGCGGCCAUACAGGUCAGCUGUGAAAACUCGAGGCUCAACCUCGAGACGUCGGUUGAAACCGUAUGGCUAGAGUCCGGAAGAGGAGAGUGAAAUCCCCGGUGUAGCGGUGAAAUGCGCAGAUAUCGGGAAGAACACCCGUGGCGAAGGCGGCUCUCUAGGACGGUACUGACGCUGAGACGCGAAAGCGUGGGGAGCGAACAGG
rnacentral:rRNA from 1 species